AUGUUGCCCAGGCUAUUGAUCAAUUUUUGUUUUAACAUUCAAAUUUAUAAUAUUAUAACCAAAUGUAAUAUUUAUAUUAGACUUCUCCUAUUUCAUAGGUGGCAUAUUCUACAUUAGUGGAGUCCAGGAGAAUUUCUGUAGAGGUGAACAUAUUCUGUGUCUACACUGUCAAAUACAGUAGCCACUAGCUACCUGUGGCAUUGAAUAUAUGAAAUGCGGUGAAUGCAACUGAGGAACUAAAUUUUUAGUUUUAUCUAAAAUAAAAUAUAUCUAAAAUACCUUGUUUAAAUAACCACAUGUGGUCAGUGCCUACCAUAUUGAACAGCAACAGCUCCUCACAUUUUUCUGUGCCUUGCUUCUUUCACUUAAUAGUAUAUCUUGAAAAUCAUUACAUGGCAGUAGAGAAAGAGAGUCCUCCUUGCUUGGUAUACGUGCAUUGUACUCUAACAUGUAGAUGCACCUUAUUCAGUCAAUCCCCUAUUGGUGGACAUUUGUCUUAUUUAUAGUCUUGUCCUAUUACAAAUUGUUCUUCUAGGAAUGACCUUGUUCUUCUGCCUUUUUGUCUUUUUGAAAUGUAUGUUUGGGAUAGAUUCUUAGAAUAGAGAUUGCUGGUUCCUGGAGAAAACACCUGUACCUCAUAAAAUAGAAAGGGAACAGGGAGUCCAGCCUGACUGGAGUGAAGAGUGGGGGCCUCCCAGGGGAGCGGACAGGGCUCUGAGAUAACUGACUGGGCACUCCAGGUCUGAGGCCAUCCAGAUUUAGGACUGAUUGUGGAAAAACACAUUUGCUUCGGUGAGAUGCUGCAUGUCACCUUUACACCCUGAAAUUACACAAAUUUGGUGAGAACAGAAGUGUCCUGAAGACCUCUCACAGGUCCAUGGGCGCAGGAAGGAGACAGGAACACUGAAAAUAGUGAAGUGGUUGAUGUCAGUGCCCUAAGCCUUCAUUAAAGUGAGAAGCAAAUGUCAAGAGGAAGGAUUUACCACUAAUUGGGUCCUCAGGCUGUCUGGAAAUCAUACACCCACUAUAGUUUCUCUCUGACCCCAGGUCCAAUGGUCUCCCAUCUGCCAGCAUGUUUAUGCCUUCCUCCUGGAGGCACAUUCUUAGCCAGAACACUCUCUCCAGGAGGUCACACUUUCCAUGCUUUCAUUUGUUUUCUCCUUGUAUCCUCCCUGAGAUUUUUCAUGAGGCUUUUCUCUGUUGCCUCAGCUCCUUUCAUCAACUCAGUGAGUUGUGUCACAACUCGACACUGCUCUGACAAGUUUAGGCACAAUUUAACACUCACCUAUACUAUCAUUUACAUGUUGCAUCUUUGCAGUUAUUUUUGUAGAGUUAAAUUUAUGAUCCUCCCCAACAGAGCUGCAUGUGUUGACCAAAUACCCCCUUCUGCUUAGGCAGCUCUGUGCUGUUGUAGACUCAUGGCUUACCAUAAUUUACUCAAAUGGGCAGCUUUCCUGUUGUCCAUAUUACAUGACCCUUUCAACUGUUUUCUGUAGAAUCUCUGUGCAGGAUUUCCUCCUGGGAUGCGAUGGUUUAUUUCUGGAUUUUAGUCAUGGUAUCUUCACAUGUUCCCACAUGCAAAAUUGACCCUAUCACUCUGCAUCCUUGUUGGAUGCCUUCAGUGAUUUACUAGGUGGGCCCACAAAGCCCCUUUCAUUUCUCUCUAAAUUCAUCUCUCUGCCAACUUACUCAAGGUAGGGAGUAAAGAAGAUGCAGGAGAUGAUUCCUGGGCUGCCCUGAGUCCUUUGACCUGGGGGAAGAUGCAUUUAAUACCCAGGAAGUGGAUCUGACAAAAUUCGAUUGGUGGUUUAUAACAUCUGGAAAACACUGCAUUCAAGGGGAGAUAUUUUUUAAGAGAAGAGAAAAUGUUAUUUGAGGCCAAAGUAACCUACUGCCCAAUGUGGUGAUAUUCAGAUCCUGUCUAUUUAGAAUAUAAGGAAAAUAUGUACCCCAUCCGAGGAUAUAUCUCACAAAUUUAUUAAUUAAUACAUUCAUGGGUGACAAUGUGCCCUGAACAGUGGUAAGUGCCUGAGUGCCCAGCUCUUUCAAUGGCAUGGUCAAUAAAGUCCUGUUAAUAUCUGCCACUUACAGUAUAGUCUUCAAUAUUUACUCUACAUAUAUUGAGGACGAAUCAGAUCUUGUACUUCCUGCUUCAACCAUCAAACAGAAUUUGGCUAUCUCAAGAGGAAUAUGGAAAUCUAUUCUAUUGAACUGUAAUAGUGUUUUUUCUGUUGUUUAUUCCUUAUAGAUGUUUCUGGACUCUUUCAAUUAUUAUUUUGAUAAAAGGGAUUUUAAACUUUUAAACACAUUGGAAGUUGGCUGGGCGAGGUGGCUCACACCUGUAAUCCCAGCACUUUGGGAGGCCAAGGUGGGUGGAUUACGAGGUCAGGAGUUUGAAACCAGCCUGGCCAAGAUGGUGAAACCCCAUCUCUACUAAAAAUACAAAAAUUAGCCGGGCAUGGUGGCAUGUGCCUGUAAUCCCAGCUACUCGGGAGGCUGAGGCAGGAGAAUUGCUUGAGCCUGGGAGGCAGAGGUUGCAGUGAGCUGAGAUCAUGCCACUGCACUCUAGCCUGGGCGACAGAGUAAGACUCUGCCUUAAAAAAAAAAAAAAAAAAAGUGAAAUUACAGUAACUAAAGAACUAAAGUAAUGCAGAUUUAUGUCCUAGCCUAUUGUACUGGAUGAAAACAGAAAGAACUUUAAAAAUAUUCAUCUCAAUUUGCUAAAUAAUACAUAUAAGUGGGCCUGUUUGUGUAUUAUAUAUAUUAUAUAUAAAUGAGUGUAUUUAUCUCAUAUAUAUAUAUAUAUAUUUGGUAGAUCUUAUUCCUGCUUCUACUUAGAUAUGUGACCCAAUAAUAGUGAGUUACCCCUUGUGAACCUGAACUGGGGCAUCUGUAACAUGGGCAUAUUGAUACAUACCUCGCUGAACUGUUGUGGGAAGAAAAUGUACAAUGCUUAAACCUAUGUGAAGUGUCUAACAUGUAAUGCUACAACAAAUAUAUGUAUUGGCUUUCCCUGUGUUUUCUCUUCUACAAAAGACGUAGUUUACAUGAACAUCUCCUAGAGGUCAAUUAGAGUUGAAGCAGCAGGAAAUAAAAUGUUUACAUAUUUCUAUGAGAGAAAAGCUUUUCUGUCUUUUCUUUGUAGAAGUUACCUGAUGCGUGGAGCGGAGGAGAAAGAAAAUAAUUUCAUUAUUUUUUAUUUGAUGUCCUUACAUCUUCAUUUACCUUCCAUUUGGACAUGUUAAUAGCAGCCUCUCACUGAGCCUCAGAAAGGAGACAGCACAGAAUGACAGACCAUGAAGAUGGGUCUUCUGGGAAACAGAUGAUAUCAGGAGACCUGGGUCCCAAAUACCAGAUCUGUUCUUAUGUACAGGACUAUGGGGAGUCACUUCUGUCCUAGCCUCAACCCUUUCACAGGAAAAGAUUUUAUUUCCCAAUAGAGGGGAGGUGUGGUUUUGGAGUCAGAUAGAGUGGGUAGGAUAUUUGGGCACAAUUAAUAAUUAAUUUAGUGAUCUUUAGCAAAUGUUAGGUCUGCAGAUAAAUGAAAUCCAUGUGUAAUGCAUAUACAUUAAAUAUGUCUGCAUAGAUAAUCAAGUGGGAAGUAAUUCACAAAAAUGAUACAUUUUUAAAAAUCAGCCAUGGGGUUAUUGAUUAUCUCUGGAGCUCAUUAUGUUUCCUAAAAUUUUAAAUUAGUAGGAAUCUCCUUUGAAUUCAGAAUCAAAUAUGGAAACAGUAGUUUUUAUUAAAUAUUUCAGAAAUACACAAAAUUAUAGAAUAGAACCUUCUAUGUUAACAUAAAACAUCAUAUGCAAUUAAAAUUCACUUUGAAGUGUUCUCUGAUUACAUUAGUUUCCUUCUUCCUCACAGGUAACCACUAGGCAAAAUUUGGGGUUUACAUUUUUAAGACAUUUCUCUAUAUUUUUAUUACAUUUGAAUAGAUCCACACACGAAAUAUGGUAUUUUUAAUGGUAUGGCUUUGUGAACUGAAAUAUCACCAAUUUACAAAUUUUUAAAAGGAUGGCUUUAUUUCUUAUUAAAGAUUACAGCCUGCAGUGUGGCCAUUCUGACGGGCUGGGAAUGUAGCCAUUGGAAGAAGCCCAGAAGCAGACACUUUGAGGGAGUGAGAGGUUAAGACAGGAAUUUAAGCUGAAGGGGUUGGACAAAGAUACAUACACAACACGUUAUAGGAGGAGCUAUGAAUAUUUAUGAAGGGGGUCCUGGCACAAACAUGUAUGUUAUACAUAUGGACCAGGUUCACCUUGGGGUGGAGACUUCACAUUUAAAUGUAUCACAAUUAGGCCCUAUACGUCAAAAGAACUUUUCAGAACACAAAGGCACUCAAGUCCUGCCCUCUUUAAACUGGCCAGAACCGGUCCAUGGUUGGUGAUCUUCUAAUCAGAAGAAAGUUACCGAAAUCAGUCUCUUGUCCAAUCAAAACUGUAGCCACUGCUGGUGGAACAGGGGCUGGGGAUCAGCAUCUAGUGGUGGAUGAGCUGCAAGUUGUUUUAAUGUUGCUUAUCUUGAGGCCAGUACUUGUUUAGCUACUGGAGAAAAAUGAAAAGGACAGCUUGUGUCAAUUAGAACGCAGUUUAUUCUUUAAGUGUAGAGUGUGUGACUUAACCCUUUCCUGGCAUGGCCUUAGGUCUUAUUUAUAAUUUGAUAUCUUAUUGCCACAAAGAGUCUGUUCUGCCAGUCUUAUGAUCUCUAUUUAACAUUAAUGCUGGUCAAUUGUUGUAUCUAAACCACAAAAGAGAGGGAGCAUAACAAGUUGUAUCUGACCCCACUUCCUGUCAUGCCCAGGAACUCAGUUUUAAGGAUUUUGGGGGGUCCUCCUGGCCAUGAGGAGGUUUAUUCAGUCAGUUGAGGGGCUUAAGGUUUUACUUUUAAUUUACAUUUUUAUCUCUAAAUGCAUGACUACCUCAUGGAAUAAGAGGAAGGAAGAAACAUAAGGAGAACAAAUACAUGUUCAGAUUUCAACAGUGGGAUUUGCCAUAUAUGCCUACAUGUCAUGUAUACUCUCUUUCCAACUUGCCAAAACAGGCCCAUUUACUUGGUUUGUGUGCUGUAGGGAGCAUUAAUAAAAUCUGCAGAUACUAUUUUCAAGCCCCCUUUUUUACCUGAUGUAUUCAAGCACCUAGAGUUUCCCUGGAGUGAACUGGCCUAAAACAAUGACUUAGUGUAUUCUUUAAUGAAACACCUUCUAUUUGUCCAGACUACUUGUAUUUAACUCAAACUGUAACUCAUGUGGGGUUACCCUGUACAUCUGGAACCUCACCUGAGCCAAGCUGAUGAAAGAAGACAGUGAUUCCCUGUAGUUAGUUUUCGUAUGUCCAAACUACUAUCCAAAUCCCUUGACUGGUUUAGGGAUGCAUCUCAUUUAGAACCUGAUCUCAUUUUGUGUGAUGGUUGUUUGACAUGAGUAGACUUUUCCAUUUCAUUUAUUAUUUUUUAAUUGCACAAGAAACACACUUUGGAGGUGUUUGAAUUCACAUGUGUUACUUGAUCUUGUGGACAGAGGCCAUAGUGCAGUGGGAUAGUCAGUGGAAAGUGGAGAAUAUUAACAGGGAAUGUAGAAAACUCUUUAUGGAACUUUGAAUGUAAAGAAAAAAAAUGUAAAGAGACAGAGAGAAAGCAAUAAAGAGAGAUAGAAGAGAUAUCUCCAUCAUGUGGCUGCAAUGGAUGCUGGUAAGUCCAACGAAUGACAUUGGAAAAAUCUUAAAUUACUUGAAACUUGAUCAAGUUUAAACAUUAAUGGGCAGCUAGAAAAAUUCAAAAGAAAAAAUAAUGGGAAGGAGCCAUCUCAUCUCAAAUUUAACAUUUAAAGUUGCCCAUAUAUUCAUAUCCUUUCUUACCCUCUCAUUUCCAAUUCAGAGCUAAUGAGAUGCGUCCACUGGGACAGCAUGAAAUCUGAGCUCAGUAAACAUUUAGUUAUUACCUAACAGAAGAAUAGACAAUUAUGUGUCAAAAAAUGUUGCUAACUAUUGGAUUUGUGCGUCUCCAGAAGGCAGCAGGUGGCUGAAAUCCUGGUGUGAUGUGGCUGGAUAAUACAUGACCUGAGGACUCCUGCACUGAUGACUGCAGGAUGAGACCAGAAUUUUCCUAUACAUACAUUAAAAUACUAAGUAGUCCAGAGGAGCCAUUAGGCAGACAUCACACUUUGCUUACUUUGCUAUCUAUCACUGAGAUCACCAGACCCUUGAUCGAGGAGUUCGAUAAUGGUGGUACCGUGGUGCCCUCUCGUGACAGAAGGCGGAACUACAGCUAGAACAUCGCGAGCAGGAAGGUGGGAGGGAGAGGCUGUGGCCCAAGCCCACCGUACAGAGCUUUCUGGAACUCUGGGUGGCAAAGCGGACAUUCUCAGUAGUCCCAGGGAUAUUGAUGGGCUCAAGACAGCAAUCGUUGUCUCUUACUGUGCUGAAAAGAGCUCUAUAUCAGAAUAAAAAGGUCAUUUUAAUUUUUAUUCUUUGACCACCGGAAAAUCAGACUUGUAUGAGGGAAAAAUGGAUCCAGACUACUUGUUCGAGUCUUUGUACCCCUCUUUAAAUCUUUAUUACCAUCUUUUCGUGGAAAUAAAUUUCUAUGACAUUCGAAAUUA